ACGGGUGAGUAACGCGUGGGAAUCUACCGUGCCCUACGGAAUAGCUCCGGGAAACUGGAAGUAAUACCGUAUACGCCCUUUUGGGGAAAGAUUUAUCGGGGUAUGAUGAGCCCGCGUUGGAUUAGCUAGUUGGUGGGGUAAAGGCCUACCAAGGCGACGAUCCAUAGCUGGUCUGAGAGGAUGAUCAGCCACAUUGGGACUGAGACACGGCCCAAACUCCUACGGGAGGCAGCAGUGGGGAAUAUUGGACAAUGGGCGCAAGCCUGAUCCAGCCAUGCCGCGUGAGUGAUGAAGGUCUUAGGAUUGUAAAGCUCUUUCACCGAUGAAGAUAAUGACGGUAGUCGGAGAAGAAGCCCCGGCAAACUUCGUGCCAGCAGCCGCGGUAAUACGAAGGGGGCUAGCGUUGUUCGGAAUUACUGGGCGUAAAGCGCACGUAGGCGGAUAAUUAAGUCAGGGGUGAAAUCCCGCAGCUCAACUGCGGAACUGCCUUUGAUACUGGUUAUCUUGAGUAUGGAAGAGGUAAGUGGAAUUGCGAGU
rnacentral:rRNA from 1 species